rnacentral:lncRNA from 1 species
CCAACCCAUUCAAUGACCUUGAAGGACCCUUCCAACCCAACCCAACCCAUUCUAUGACCUUUAAGGACCCUUCCGACCCAUCCCAACCCACUGUAUGACCUUCAAGGACCCUUCCGACCCAUCCCAACCCACUGUAUGACCUUCAAGGACCCUUCCAACCCAACCCAGCCCAUUCUCUGACCUUGAAGGACCCUUCCAACCCAUCGCAACCCACUCUAUGACCUUGAAGGACCCUUCUGACACGGUUCCUCUGCUCUCCCGCAGGCUACAAGCCGUGCGAGCCGGAGGUGGUGCAGGAGCGCGUGGCCACGCUGGAGCAGCGCUACCAGCAGCUGACGGAGCUGGCGGCCCAACGCCGCGCCAAGCUGGAGGAAUCGCGGCGCUUCUGGAAGUUCUUCUGGGACACGGGGGAGGAGGAGGCGUGGAUGCGGGAGCAGGAGCGGCUCCUCUCCUCCGAGGACGUGGGCCGGGACCUGACGAGCUCGCUGCGCCUGCUGAGCCAGCACGCCGCCUUCCGGCACGAGCUGAGCGGGCGCGCGGGGCCGUUGCAGCAGGCGCUGGCGCGGGGCCGGGCCUUGGUGGGCGAGGGGCACCUGGGGGCCCAGCGGGUGGGCGAGCGCGUGCGGGAGAUGGAGGAGCGGUGGCGGGCGCUGGGCGAGCUGGCGGACGAGCGCGAGCGGCGCCUGCGGGACGCGGCCGGGCUCUUCCAGUUCCAAGCGGAGGCGGCCGACGUGGAGGCGUGGUUGGAGGACGCGUUGCGCCUGGCGUCCAGCCCGGAGCUGGGCCACGACGAGUACUCGACGCGCAGCCUGGCGCGGCAGCACCGCGAGGUGCAGGAGGAGGUGCGCGGCCACCGGCCCGCCAUCGCCGCGCUGCACGAGCAGCGAGGCCGACGCCUGCGGGCUGUGGGUGGGAGAGAAGGAGCAGUGGCUGCACGCCCUGCUGGUCCCCGACAAGCUGGAGGACCUGGAGGUGGUGCAGCAGCGGUGAGCAAACAUAACCCAACGCAACCCAACUCAAACCAACCCAACCCAACUCAACACAACUCAACCCAACUCAACCCAACCCAACUUAACCCAACCCAACUUAACCCAACCCAACCGGACCCAACUCAACCCAACCCAACCCAACUCAACCGGACCCAACCCAAUGCAACUCAACUCAAGCCAACCCAACCCAACUUGACCCAACCCAACCCAACUUGACCCAACCCAACCCAACUCAACACAACCCAACUCAACUCGACCCAAUCCAACCUAACUCAACCCAACGCAACUCAACCGGACCCAACCCAACUCAACCCAACUCAACUGGAUCCAACCCAACCCAACUCAACCUAACUCAACUCAACCAGACCUGACCCAACUCAACCCAACCCAAUCCAACCCAACCCAACCCAGACCAACCCAACCCAACCCCACCAAACCCAACCCAACUCAACUCAACCCAACACAACUCAACCAACACAACACAACACAACACAACCUGACCCAACCCAACUCAACCCAACCCAACUGGACUCAACCAGACCCAACCCAACUCAAUCUAACCCAGCCCAACCCAACUGGACCCAACCGGACCCAACCCAACUCAACCCAACCAACCCAACUCAACACAACCCAACUCAACUGGACCCAACCCAACUCAACCCAACCCAAC